UACAGAUAUGAAUCUCACGUCAAAUUGCUGAUUGUUUUGUGUCACACGGAAUUCUCACUUCCGGCGAGCGCUGGCAAGUGUCGUUCUGAAAUUUAAUAAGGAAAGAGAUAGGAAAACGCCGUUCGAAAGACGAAAAAUUGUUUUUUUAAAAAGUCUACGCUACCGACGGCUAUUUUUGGAAUUAAUUUUUCAAGAGUAACGGUAAGCGAUCACUUUUAUUGAUUUCUUUUUAUUAAAAGUGUUAAUAUAACAUUUUAUUUAGCAAAAGUUUGUUUUUUUCCCUAUCUACUUCUUAUUAAAAUCGUGAAAUACACUUGCUGGGAAUUUCAGAUGCUCGUGUUUAAAUAACAAAACAGCGAAUGAUAUAAAUGCCUCAAAACAUAACUCUCGC